rnacentral:rRNA from 1 species
AUUGAACGCUGGCGGCAGGCCUAACACAUGCAAGUCGAGCGAGCGGCGGACGGGUGAGUAAUGUAUGGGGAUUGCCCGAUAGAGGGGGAUAACUACUGGAAACGGUGGCUAAUACCGCAUACUAUCGGAUAACCCAUAUGGGAUUAGCUAGUAGGUGGGGUAAAGGCUCACCUAGGCGACGAUCCCUAGCUGGUCUGAGAGGAUUACCUGCCACACUGGAACUGAGCAAUGGUCCAGACUCCUACGGUGGCAGCAUAGGUGAAUAUUGCACAAUGGGCGCAAGCCGAAUGCAGCCCUGCGCAGCGUGUGAUGAGUGCAUGCGAGUUGUAAAUUACGUUCGGCGAGGAGGCGUUCCCCACAGCGGAAGCACCGGCUAACUCCGUGCCAGCCGCCGCGGUAAUUC